AUAUCCCUGCCGUGCUCGUUGGGAUACUUGAAGUUGGUGAGCCAACAAAAUGGUAAAGGGAGCUAUACUUCUUUUUAGGCCUUGGCCUGAAAGAGACGCUCCCACGUGUAACCAAAACGGUUCACAGCCCUUCAAGUCCGACGGCACAGUGCGGGGAUUUU
rnacentral:sRNA from 1 species